UAUUACCAACAGAGUGGUUAAGGAGAUCAGAAAGAAACUCUUCCUAAGUACCUGGAAUGGCAGAGUAACCUAUAAUCCAUAAUUAGGACCUGAAGAUAGAAGGCAUCAGAAGAGCUUCAUUCAAAGCACAGAAGAUGACACUCAUUAACCCCUGAAAUGGAGGAGCUAUGAUGAGGUAGAGGGAAAAGAUGCCAAGUCCUCAAAGUGGAUAGGAUUAAGAGGAACAAACUUGAGCCUUCUCCAAAGAGCUGCACCAUGGUGAACACAUACCACUCCCAUCUACUGGUAAAUGUUGGAUAAGUUUGCUUGCAGACCACUGUAAAAGACUGGAGUUUUCUAAGCUCAGAGUUCCUCAGCUGUGACAAAAACAACAACAAAAAACAACAAACAUAACCCAACUAUGUCACUGCACAGCAUUCUUCUAUGCCUACCUGUGUUACCCUUGGAGGUCUUAGAGGACGUGGAGAACUGGCUCAAAAGUGAAUCUCAUGCUACCUGAUGUGCUGUGACUAAUAAAAUAUUUUGUCUCUCA